UACGUAGGUGGCAAGCGUUGUCCGGAUUUAUUGGGCGUAAAGCGCGCGCAGGCGGUUUCUUAAGUCUGAUGUGAAAGCCCUCGGCUUAACCGAGGAGGGUCAUUGGAAACUGGGAGACUUGAGUGCAGAAGAGGAAAGUGGAAUUCCAAGUGUAGCGGUGAAAUGCGUAGAGAUUUGGAGGAACACCAGUGGCGAAGGCGACUUUCUGGUCUGUAACUGACGCUGAGGCGCGAAAGCGUGGGGAGCAAACAGGAUUAGAUACCCCGGUAGUCC
rnacentral:rRNA from 1 species